rnacentral:lncRNA from 1 species
AGAGUAGAGUUGGGUUGAGUAUAGUAGUCGAGUCGAGUUGAGUCGAAUUGAGUUGAGUUGAGUAGAGUUGAGUUGAGUUGAGUAGAGUAGAGCAAAGAGUAGAGUAGAGUACAGUAGAGUUGAAUAGAGUUGAGUAGAGUUGAGUUGAGUAAAGUAGAGUAGAGUUGAGUAGAGUUGAGUUGAGUAGAGUUGGGUGGAGUAGAGUUGAGUUGAGUCGAGUUGAGUCGAGUUGAGUUGAGUCGAAUCCUCCAGGUCGGGCAGCACCCCCGGGAGCACCCAGUCCCACCUUUAACCCAGCACCCACACCCCCACCCCAAACCCCUGCCCCCCAAAUUCCACACCUACGCGUCUCCUGAGGCCCGCACGUUUCGGGCUGCCCAGGGGGUGGGGGCGUCCCCGUCCCUGGGGGUCUUCGAGGAGAGGUUGGACCUGGGUUUGGGGGUGGCGGUGGUGGUAGGGGGGUGGCUGGAGCAGGUGAUUAAUGAUAAUGAUUAAAUAAUUAAUGACUAAUGAUUAAUGAGUCCACGUCCUCCAGGGGUGGCAGCCCAGGAUACGGAGCUCUGGGGCACAAGCACACGCUGUGGGAUCGUGUUGAGGUCCCCCAGUAGGACCCCAGUACACCCAGUGCUCUCCCCAGUACACCCAGGGCUCUCCCCAGUACACCCAGGGCUCUCCCAGUACACCCAGUGCUCUCCCCAGUACACCCAGGGCUCUCCCAGUACACCCAGGGCUCUCCCCAGUACGCCCAGGGCUCUCCCCAGUACGCCCAGGGCUGUCCCCAGUACACCCAGGGCUCCCCCCAGUACACCCAGGCCUCUCCCCAGUACACCCAGGGCUCCCCCCAGUACACCCAGGGCUCUUCCCAGUACACCCAGGGCUCUCCCCAGUACGCUCAGGGCUCUCCAAUAUCCACCCAGGCCUCUCCCCAGUACACCCAGUGCUGUCCCCAGUACAGACAAUGGGCACCCAUUGUCACCGCAGGGCCCAGAACAAAGGGACGGGGACACGGUGGCCCCGGUGGCCCCAGGAGCGUGGCCACCCCAGCGGGGGGAGGGGGGGGGGGGGGGGGGGGGGGGGGGGGGGGGGCGGGGGGGGGGGGGGGGGGGGGGGGGGGGGGCAUGGGCUACGUGCAGCCCGGUUUUGGGGCGGAAAUCGGGGAUUUGGAGCCAAGGCGCAGCGGGGAGCAGAGGGGGGUCGCGGUGCAGCGG